GACAGAGGGUGCGAACGUUGUUCGGAAUUACUGGGCGUAAAGCGCGUGUAGGCGGUUCGGCAAGUCGGAUGUGAAAGCCCAGGGCUCAACCCUGGAAGUGCACUCGAAACUGCCAGACUGGAGUCCCGGAGAGGAAGGCGGAAUUCUCGGUGUAGAGGUGAAAUUCGUAGAUAUCGAGAGGAACACCUGUGGCGAAGGCGGCCUUCUGGACGGUGACUGACGCUGGAGACGCGAAAGCGUGGGGAGCAAACAGG
rnacentral:rRNA from 1 species